rnacentral:rRNA from 1 species
AUUGAACGCUGGCGGCAUGCCUAACACAUGCAAGUCGAGCGGAUGAAGGGAGCUUUCUCCUGUAUUCAGCUGCGGACGGGUGAGUAAUGCCUAGGAAUCUGCCUGGUAGUGGGGGAUAGCGUCCGGAAACGGGCGCGAAUACCGCAUACGUCCUGAGGUAGAAAGUGGGGGUUCUUCGGACCUCACGCUAUCAGAUGAGCCUAGGUCGGAUUAGCUAGUUGGUUGGGUAAGGGCCUACCAAGGCGACGAUCCGUAACUGGUCUGAGAGGAUGAUCAGUCACACUGGAACUGAGACACGGUCCAGACUCCUACGGGAGGCAGCAGUGGGGAAUAUUGGACAAAGGGCGAAAGCCUGAUCCAGCCAUGCCGCGUGUGUGAAGAAGGUCUUCGGAUUGUAAAGCACUUUAAGUUGGGAGGAAGGGAAGUAAGUUAAUACCUGGCUGUUUUGACGGUACCAACAGAAUAAGCACCGGCUAACUUCGUG